rnacentral:tRNA from 1 species
GCCCUCUUGGUUCAAUGGAUAGAACGGCUGUCUUCGGAACAGCAGAUACGGGUCCGAUUCCUGUAGAGGGCA